UGGUGGUGAUUGGGGCACUUCAGCUACCCAGACUUCUGUUGGGAAAAUAAUGCAGCCAGGCACAGAUUAUCCACCAAGUUCUUAGCAUGUAUUGGAGACAAUUUUUUAGUUCAGAAAGAGGAGAAAUCUAUUGUAGAGA